rnacentral:rRNA from 1 species
UACGUAGGUGGCGAGCGUUGUCCGGAUUUACUGGGCGUAAAGAGCGCGCAGGCGGUCGAUCAAGUCGCGUGUGAAAGCCCCCCGGCUCAACUGGGGAGGGUCACGCGAUACUGAUCGACUGGAAGGCAGGAGAGGGUAGUGGAAUUCCCGGUGUAGUGGUGAAAUGCGUAGAUAUCGGGAGGAACACCAGUGGCGAAGGCGACUACCUGGCCUGUUCUUGACGCUGAGGCGCGAAAGCUAGGGGAGCAAACGGG